rnacentral:lncRNA from 1 species
CAUCCACUCCCUCUUUUUCCUCCCCCCCGGAGUUUACUCUUGCGAGCCAUACUGCUCCUGCCGCCCGCGGAAACCCUGAGCGGGAGCGAAAGACCCGAAACCCAGUCAGGAACCCGCGUGCUAACGGAGCGCACUGGCAACGCCUCCCUUCUGUUUUAGCGACGCGCUCUGGCCGCCCGCAAACUUCAAUUCCCACGUUCCUUUGCGCCCGAAUCCCCAAGCAAAGCACAGGGCCGUGGAGCAGUGCACGCCGGGCGUUGUAGUCCAGCAGCGAGGAGCACUCUCCGGUCUUCUCAGCCCUCUCUGCGAGGUACUCCAGCCUCCAACAAGUUUCUUGGCUGGGAUUGCUAAUGCUGGGAACUGCAAGAUCUAGAUUGGCCUCAUCUAUUGUACCUAAGAAAAUAAAUUUCCUUGCAUUAUUCUCUUCUUCAUGAAAAAAAAUGCCUUGAAGUAAAAGGAGAUUCUACUGCCUACAAAAAUUUCUCUGAGCAGCCCAACAUGUAGGAUGAUGUGGAGAAAAUGUAGAAGUUUCAAACAGGCAAAUACUGGCAUUGGCCUUGGGAGCUUAUUCACUUCCUGUGUCAUGUGUCAUGUUCCGGUUUAUGUCUGGAGCAUAAAAGAAAGAAAGUUCAUGGGUUUUAUUAUUGUUCUUCUUUUGGUACUGGGGAUCAAACUCGGGUCCUUGCACAGCAGGUGGCGAA